UACGGAGGAUCCAAGCGUUAUCCGGAUUUAUUGGGUUUAAAGGGUGCGUAGGCGGUUUAGUAAGUUAGAGGUGAAAUCCCGGGGCUCAACUCCGGAACUGCCUCUGAUACUGCUAAGCUAGAGAAUAGUUGCUGUGGGCGGAAUGUAUGGUGUAGCGGUGAAAUGCUUAGAGAUCAUACAGAACACCGAUUGCGAAGGCAGCUCACAAAGCUAUAUCUGACGCUGAGGCACGAAAGCGUGGGGAGCAAACAGG
rnacentral:rRNA from 1 species